rnacentral:lncRNA from 1 species
AUUUAGGAUGCUACACUACCACAUACAAUCAACUUUAUCAAUCCAAAAGACAUGUAACACUUUGCAGUUGUAAAAGUAGUAGUAAUAACCAUAUGUCUGAAUGUUAACUUUUAUUAAAUCACAUCGGAACAACACGAAUAAACAGUUAACUCAACAUAUCCAAUCAUAAACAUAAUAUUUCAUAUAAUAACUGUUAAAAUAUAAUGAAAGAAACAACAUUCCAAUCCCUCAGUGUUACACAUCAGAGCAUAUGCUGACACAAAAAUAAAACGGAAG